CCCGCUUCCGAAAUUCAUCAAUUAAGAAGUUGGAACGAGUCUUCGUGGUUCCCUGUUCCCUGCAAACAUGCUCCGCUGCUCAACGGAUCUAACCUAGAUCGUCCGCCUUGUUUCGCAGCUCCAUCUCUCCGCCCUAGUCGUCUCUCUCCAGUCGGCCCUCUUCCCCUGCUUCACUCUCUUCCUCCCUGCAUAGCCCUAGAUCGUAUGCCCUCCUCGUAUAACUGAUGCUGCAAUCAACUAUUUAAGGGAUAAUUCAAGUCAUUCAUUAGCCUUGACUAUGGCUAGCGAUCUCAUUGUCUAUCAAAUUAAUCUUUGUGCCCCUAGCAUAUCCAAUGUUACUACAAAGGUCUGUUUCUAUUUUUUUCAACUCUCAAUCAUGGAAUUUCUUUUUGAUUUUCAUAUGUAAUUUAAUCUAUUCAUUUAAUAACAAGAAUGAAUAAUUAGGGAUGAAAUGGUGAUAUGGGGUGAAGCUUUUUGACCAAGCCCCUUAACACCAAUGUUGCAUGACAACUUGAUUGUGUGUAGGAAUUUGUCCAAUUUAUUUUACUAUGAACUCUCAAAUGAACACUUCCAUUUCCUUAACUAUGACCAAAAGCAUUCUCAUUUUGUUUCAUACAUAGUAUCUUGAAGAAUAUUUUCAUUCCAAGGUUUCACAAAUAGGGAUGAGCAUAUGGACUGGGGAACCGGCCAAAACCGGUAUCGGAACCCGAUGGAAUCGGCCGGGCCGGGACUGAUACUAUAAUAUUGUCAAUUUUUGGAACCAGGAACUGGUAAGAACUGGUCAUUGGAACCAGCCCAAAACCCGGAACCGGACCGGACAAUCUUAAAAAAAAAACCCACGGCUUUUGGACUUUCAAGGGUAUAUGGGUUGUGAUAGUGCUUCCAGUAAAGGUUCAUGGUUUUUGCUUGGAUCCAUGUUUAAACCACGAAAUAAUCUCCUGAGGGAUACGUAAUCAGGCUCACAUAAACUCAGGCAGGAGGAUCACCAUGCGAUGGGAAUGUACAUGAUGACUUGCGGUGGAAUCAUGCAUCAUGCAUGGUUACUGCCAUGUGUUUGUGGGUUAUAAUCACUUCCACUUGUGCGUCGAGAUACACAAGGUUUGAAAGAGGUACUAUAAGUUUGAGCAAACAUGGAGAUCUUGUUAUCAUUUUGGAAGGAAACUCUUCAUAAGUUGGAUAAAGAAGAGGAGCAAUUAUGCAAAUCAAAUCUUCACUUCAACUUUUGUGUUUCUUCUUGAACUAGUAUUUAGUUUGAUAGUUUAGUGUUUUGUGUAAUUACUAGCAUAAUGUUUAGACUUAUUAUGUCUUUUGAAAGAUAUUUUUGUUAUUAAUAUUGAGAAUAUUAUUGUAAGAUCAUUUAAGUUUUAAUUUAAGUAAAACUAAUUAUUUUAA